UGAUCAUUAUUUUUAUUUAAAGACAGGAUUGAAAAUGGUUAUAAGUGUCCAACAAUAAAUCUCAAAGUUACGCAUCUCAUCCAUCUUGUCUACACAAUUUCAUCUUAUUUACCUCAUCAUUGAAGGGCGAGUUAUCCCAAAAUUGGCAACCUCUCAAGCAACUCUAUCUUCCUCUCUGGUCAUCAUCACCAUCAUCAUCUCUAUUUUUUGUGCAUUAUACAUUAUGAAUCAGUUUACUUUCACCCAAUACACAUUGGAUGUACAUUUUACCGCCCAAUCUUUAUACUCCAGCAAGCCAUCAAGAAGAAGCUGUUGCUUGAAAAACCAUCAUCUUUCCUAACAAAGGACAGUCAACCAACGCGAUAGAAGGAAACUUUAAAGCUAAUUAAUGUUACCAAAGAUUCACUCUUCUGUCCUGAUGAUAUGAACAGAUUAAUUUUCAAGUAUCAUUUUCACCCUGCUACAUAAAGGCCAAGGCUUAUUUUAUUUAAUAAAAUGUAAACAUUGGCCCGGACAAGAGACUGGAUACAUUAAAAGGGAUUGAUGAUUGGAUAAAGUAACCUUUUACAUGAAAAGCUAUUUAUUUACUAAUGAUGAUACUAUGGUCCAGUCUUAUGAUUAAAUUGAUGCCUCCAAAGAUGUAGCUAUAAUUGUUUGAUACGUCGGCGUUUAGUUGGUUUCCUCGAUAAACAAAUGGACCAAUUUGUAAACAUUAAUACGUUUUAAAUCAACAAGAAAACAAACUCUGGUUUAAUAUUUAUAAUCUUGUCGGAUUUUCGAGGUUCUCCUUCACCAAUCAAAUUGUAGUCCUUUCAUCUUAUCAUGUUAACUUCUCUAAACAUCACUCUAUUUUAAUGGUCAACUCCUGUGGUUGAGCCUCCACAACCUUUUCCCUGUGCUGGAUGAGGAAAAUUAUUGAAUCAAUGGGCAAACUUGAUUAUUUUAUUGGUCAAUAUUAACCAGUUCAAAUUGGCUUUGUCAAUGGUAAGUCAAUUGAGAUACACAUUUGAAAAGCCAAUUUUCACUUAAUCAAUUUUUCUCGGCUCAAAAAAAGUGUGAUCAAGUUAAUUCAAGUAUCAGUUACUCUCUACAAUUACAUUUAUUACCAUAUUGAUCCUUGAAAGUUGCUGCUCAUUUCAACCAUUGUUAUUGUAAUUAUAAACUUGUGUUCAUUAUGAUUAUGAUAAUAAGUGUAUCUGUCUAUUGUUAUUCUGUGCUCAUAUGGAUUACAUCUUGAGACGGAAAUAUUGUUUUUUUUUCUUUCUUUCUUCAAGAAAAUUCAUUUUCAUCUGAUGACUGAGAAUCACUUGUUAUUAUUGCAAGAGCAAAACAAAACUAAAAAGUGAAAUUGUUAAGAAAAUAAUGUUUUUUGAUGCUCACUAAGUUAGCAGAAAUAAAAAAAUGUUGACUCAGGCAGUCUUUGAAGCAUAAAAAUUCGUUGAAAAAAAAUCAUGAUAUAAACUCCUAGCCAUAGGAACCCAAAAAUGUUGAUAAUGAGAUGAACAAGGAGAAAGAACAUAAAUAGACAGGGAAAAAGGAAGGAAAAUAAAGGACAAAAAUAGAAAGAUAAGAGAUAAAGCUUUCCAUCUUUACUCCCAUCCUAAUCUUCAUCUUGAACUGUAAAUUUUAAUGGAAACCAAUGUUAAACCCAAAAUCAAAAGCCAACCAUUGUUAAUGGUUUUCAACUGUUCAUCUCAAACUUUCACCACAAACGACCAUUUUUCAAUUUUACCGUUUUCAGUUUUUUUGGUACAAAUUAAAAUCAAUGGACAUUGAAUGUU